rnacentral:rRNA from 1 species
UACGAAGGGAGCUAGCGUUGUUCGGAAUCACUGGGCGUAAAGCGCACGUAGGCGGAUUUGUCAGUCAGGGGUGAAAUCCCGGGGCUCAACCUCGGAACUGCCUUUGAUACAGCAAGUCUUGAGUUCGAGAGAGGUGGGUGGAAUUCCUAGUGUAGAGGUGAAAAUUCGUAGAUAUUAGGAAGAACACCGGUGGCGAAGGCGGCCCACUGGCUCGAUACUGACGCUGAGGUGCGAAAGCGUGGGGAGCAAACAGGG